GUCACCCUACGGGGCGCAGCAGUAGGGAAUCUUCCACAAUGGACGAAAGUCUGAUGGAGCAACGCCGCGUGAGAGAAGAAGGGUUUCGGCUCGUAAAGCUCUGUUGGUAGUGAAGAAAGAUAGAGGUAGUAACUGGCCUUUAUUUGACGGUAAUUACUUAGAAAGUCACGGCUAACUACGUGCCAGUAGCCGCGGUAAUACGUAGGUGGCAAGCGUUGUCCGGAUUUAUUGGGCGUAAAGCGAGUGCAGGCGGUUCCAUAAGUCUGAUGUGAAAGCCUUCGUCUCAAACGGAGA
rnacentral:rRNA from 1 species